rnacentral:rRNA from 1 species
UACGGGGGGGGCAAGCGUUGCUCGGAAUUACUGGGCGUAAAGGGAGCGUAGGCGGACAGCUAAGUCAGAGGUGAAAGCCCAGGGCUCAACCCUGGAAUUGCCUUUGAUACUGGUUGUCUUGAGUAUGGGAGAGGUGUGUGGAACUCCGAGUGUAGAGGUGAAAUUCGUAGAUAUUCGGAAGAACACCAGUGGCGAAGGCGACACACUGGCCCAUUACUGACGCUGAGGCUCGAAAGCGUGGGGAGCAAACAGG